CCAUCAUUAGAAACCCUAAAUAAACAACACUUAGAAGCACAAAAGCAACAAAGUCAAUGACCAAAUUGCAAAACCUGAUAAGCCAUCCGAACGUAAAGUUGAUACAAUAAAACGAAAGACAAAUACCUGAGCAAAUCGUAAAAGAGGGGAAACCAAUCAGGUUACAGGUUACUGAAGACUCCGAUCGAGAUAAAUUACGCUUCACAAAAGCACGCGAGCCUGCAUUUAGCGAACAACAGAUCAAAAAUCGAGAAAAGUGGAAAGCUGCAAACAAAUGACAGGAAGAAAACGAUAGGCGGGGAAGGCACCUCAUAGUACACGCGGCAACUUUGCAAGACAAUAUAAAUAGGAUAUGCAAAGGUACAAACGAACAAAGCAUAAACAACCUCUGCCAAACUUACAACACACAUGAACAUGUUGCAAACUCAUAGUAUAUCAAUUGUCUAAUUAUAAAAUCAUGCCUAAAUAUAUUAUCGUGUUCAUAGAGUUCAAUGUGAAUGGUUUAUACCUUCUCGGGUGUUAGGUUUGCGAGCCCGUUUGAAUCUGUCAAUAGAAACUGAGUAGUCCGUUUGGCCCGCUAUUGAGUUCCAACCUUUUCUCCAACUCUAUUACACCAAAACCAUCUAGAUCACCACCAUCGCCGGCACGUGCGGCUGUUCUUGUUCCACUCGAUUAUCACUACUGUUUGGGUCACCGGAUCUGUCGUAUACCAUCGCCGGCAGGUGCGGCUGUCCAUGUUCCACUCGAUUAUCUCCACUGUUUGGGUCACCGGAUUUGUCGUUUCAUCAGACAAAGAUAAUAAAAUAGACAUCACAACUUUUAUAUUGAUUCAUCAGCCAAAAGCAACAUGAAAUAAAAACUUACUUUUGACUUUAUUU
rnacentral:lncRNA from 1 species